GCCAGUGUGGCAUAGUGGUUUGAGUGCUGGACUGCAACUCUAGAGACCUGGGUUCAAUCCCCAGCUUGGCCA
rnacentral:tRNA from 1 species